UACGUAGGUGGCAAGCGUUGUCCGGAUUUACUGGGCGUAAAGAGCGCGCAGGCGGUCGUACAAGUCGCGUGUGAAAGCCCCCGGCUCAACUGGGGAGGGUCACGCGAUACUGUUCGACUCGAAGGCAGGAGAGGGAAGCGGAAUUCCCGGUGUAGUGGUGAAAUGCGUAGAUAUCGGGAGGAACACCAGUGGCGAAGGCGGCUUCCUGGCCUGUUCUUGACGCUGAGGUGCGAAAGCGUGGGGAGCAAACAGG
rnacentral:rRNA from 1 species